AUUGAACGCUGGCGGCAUGCUUUACACAUGCAAGUCGAACGGUAACAGGCCGCAAGGUGCUGACGAGUGGCGAACGGGUGAGUAAUGCAUCGGAACGUGCCCAGUCGUGGGGGAUAACGCAGCGAAAGCUGCGCUAAUACCGCAUACGAUCUAUGGAUGAAAGCGGGGGACCGUAAGGCCUCGCGCGAUUGGAGCGGCCGAUGUCAGAUUAGGUAGUUGGUGGGGUAAAGGCUCACCAAGCCGACGAUCUGUAGCUGGUCUGAGAGGACGACCAGCCACACUGGGACUGAGACACGGCCCAGACUCCUACGGGAGGCAGCAGUGGGGAAUUUUGGACAAUGGGCGCAUGCCUGAUCCAGCAAUGCCGCGUGCAGGAAGAAGGCCUUCGGGUUGUAAACUGCUUUUGUGCGGAACGAAACGGUCCUGGUUAAUACCUGGGGCUAAUGACGGUACCGUAAGAAUAAGCACCGGCUAACUACGUGCCAGCCGCCGCGGUAA
rnacentral:rRNA from 1 species